rnacentral:sRNA from 1 species
AUAUACCGACGUACACUCCGGUUCCUCCGCGCCGUCCGCACCCACCUGACGACUGCUCGCUACGUGUUGUUAGCC